GGCGCGAUGGCCGAGUGGUGAGGCAGAGGACUGCAAAUCCUUCCACGCCGGUUCGAUUCCGGCUCGCGCCUCCA
rnacentral:tRNA from 2 species